UACGAAGGGGGCUAGCGUUGUUCGGAAUUACUGGGCGUAAAGCGCACGUAGGCGGACUCUUAAGUCAGGGGUGAAAUCCCGGGGCUCAACCUCGGAACUGCCUUUGAUACUGUGAGUCUCGAGACCGGAAGAGGUGAGUGGAAUUCCUAGUGUAGAGGUGAAAUUCGUAGAUAUUAGGAAGAACACCAGUGGCGAAGGCGGCUCACUGGUCCGGUUCUGACGCUGAUGUGCUAAAGCGUGGGGAUCAAACAGG
rnacentral:rRNA from 1 species